rnacentral:rRNA from 1 species
AACGCGAAGAACCUUACCCAGGCUUGACAUGCAGAUGACGAUAUCAGAAAUGGUAUUUCCCUUCGGGGCAUUUGCACAGGUGCUGCAUGGCUGUCGUCAGCUCGUGCCGUGAGGUGUUUGGUUAAGUCCAGCAACGAGCGCAACCCUUAUCAUUAGUUGCCAACACGUAAAGGUGGGAACUCUAAUGAGACUGCCUGGGUUAACCAGGAGGAAGGUGAGGAUGACGUCAAGUCCGCAUGGCCCUUAUGUCUGGGGCUACACACGUGCUACAAUGGUCGGUACAGAAGGCAGCGAAACCGCAAGGCGGAGCAAAUCCCGAAAGCCGAUCUCAGUUCAGAUUGUAGUCUGCAACUCGACUACAUGAAGACGGAAUUGCUAGUAAUGGUGGGUCAGCAACACCACCGUGAAUACGUUCCCGGGUC